GACGAACGCUGGCGGCGCGCCUAACACAUGCAAGUCGAACGGAGUCAAGAGGAGCUUGCUUUUCUUGACUUAGUGGCGAACGGGUGAGUAACGCGUGAGUAACCUGCCCUGGAGUGGGGGACAACAGUUGGAAACGACUGCUAAUACCGCAUAAGCCCACGGAUCCGCAUGGAUCUGCGGGAAAAGGAUUUAUUCGCUUCAGGAUGGACUCGCGUCCAAUUAGCUAGUUGGUGAGGUAACGGCCCACCAAGGCGACGAUUGGUAGCCGGACUGAGAGGUUGAACGGCAACAUGGGGACUGAGACACGACCCAGACUCCUACGGGAGGCAGCAGUGGGGGAUAUUGCACAAUGGGGGAAAACCUGAUGCAGCGACGCCGCGUGGAGGAAGAAGGUUUUCGGAUUGUAAACUCCUGUCGUUAGGGACGAUAAUGACGGUACCUAACAAGAAGGCACCGGCUAACUACGUG
rnacentral:rRNA from 1 species